rnacentral:piRNA from 2 species
AAGUAUGUAGCCACCCUGGGCGUGGAGGU